AAAUUGAAGAGUUUGAUCAUGGCUCAGAUUGAACGCUGGCGGCAGGCCUAACACAUGCAAGUCGAGCGGUAGCACAGAGAGCUUGCUCUCGGGUGACGAGCGGCGGACGGGUGAGUAAUGUCUGGGAAACUGCCUGAUGGAGGGGGAUAACUACUGGAAACGGUGGCUAAUACCGCAUAAUGUCGCAAGACCAAAGUGGGGGACCUUCGGGCCUCAUGCCAUCAGAUGUGCCCAGAUGGGAUUAGCUAGUAGGUGGGGUAACGGCUCACCUAGGCGACGAUCCCUAGCUGGUCUGAGAGGAUGACCAGCCACACUGGAACUGAGACACGGUCCAGACUCCUACGGGAGGCAGCAGUGGGGAAUAUUGCACAAUGGGCGCAAGCCUGAUGCAGCCAUGCCGCGUGUGUGAAGAAGGCCUUCGGGUUGUAAAGCACUUUCAGCGGGGAGGAAGGCGUUAAGGUUAAUAACCUUGGCGAUUGACGUUACCCGCAGAAGAAGCACCGGCUAACUCCGUGCCAGCAGCCGCGGUAAUACGGAGGGUGCAAGCGUUAAUCGGAAUUACUGGGCGUAAAGCGCACGCAGGCGGUCUGUCAAGUCGGAUGUGAAAUCCCCGGGCUCAACCUGGGAACUGCAUUCGAAACUGGCAGGCUAGAGUCUUGUAGAGGGGGGGUAGAAUUCCGGGUGUAGCGGUGAAAUGCGUAGAGAUCUGGAGGAAUACCGGUGGCGAAGGCGGCCCCCGACAAAGACUGACGCUCAGGUGCGAAAGCGUGGGGAGCAAACAGGAUUAGAUACCCUGGUAGUCCACGCCGUAAACGAUGUCGAUUUGGAGGUUGUGCCCUUGAGGCGUGGCUUCCGGAGCUAACGCGUUAAAUCGACCGCCUGGGGAGUACGGCCGCAAGGUUAAAACUCAAAUGAAUUGACGGGGGCCCGCACAAGCGGUGGAGCAUGUGGUUUAAUUCGAUGCAACGCGAAGAACCUUACCUGGUCUUGACAUCCACAGAACUUUCCAGAGAUGGAUUGGUGCCUUCGGGAACUGUGAGACAGGUGCUGCAUGGCUGUCGUCAGCUCGUGUUGUGAAAUGUUGGGUUAAGUCCCGCAACGAGCGCAACCCUUAUCCUUUGUUGCCAGCGGUUAGGCCGGGAACUCAAAGGAGACUGCCAGUGAUAAACUGGAGGAAGGUGGGGAUGACGUCAAGUCAUCAUGGCCCUUACGACCAGGGCUACACACGUGCUACAAUGGCAUAUACAAAGAGAAGCGACCUCGCGAGAGCAAGCGGACCUCAUAAAGUAUGUCGUAGUCCGGAUUGGAGUCUGCAACUCGACUCCAUGAAGUCGGAAUCGCUAGUAAUCGUAGAUCAGAAUGCUACGGUGAAUACGUUCCCGGGCCUUGUACACACCGCCCGUCACACCAUGGGAGUGGGUUGCAAAAGAAGUAGGUAGCUUAACCUUCGGGAGGGCGCUUACCACUUUGUGAUUCAUGACUGGGGUGAAGUCGUAACAAGGUAACCGUAGGGGAACCUGCGGUUGGAUCACCUCCUUACCUUAAAGAA
rnacentral:rRNA from 1 species